GAUGAACGCUGGCGGCGUGCCUAAUACAUGCAAGUCGAACGAGCAGACGAGGUGCUUUCUCGUCUGACUGUAUCAGGGGACGGAUGAGUAACACGGGGAGAGACUAACUAUAAGACUGGGAUAAUAUCGUGAAACAAGAUCUAAUGACCGAUAAUUUAUCGAACUUCAUUGUUCAAUAGUUAAAGACGAUAUUUCGGUCGCUUAUAGAUGGAUCCGCGCUGGAUUAGCUAGUUGGUAGGGUAACAGCUUACCAAGGCGACGAUGCAUAGCUGGCCUGAGAGGAUGAUCAGCCACACUGAGACUAAGACACGGCACAGACUCCUACGAGAGGCAGCAGAGGGGAAUAUUGGACAACGGGCUGAAGCCUGAUCCAGCAAGGCCGCGUGAAUGAUGAAGGCCUGAGGGUUGUAAAGCUCUUUUACCCGGGAUGAUAAUGACGGUACCGAGUGAAUAAGCUCCGGCUAACUCCGUG
rnacentral:rRNA from 1 species